AGCCCCGGGCUUCCCAGAACUCCAGCAUCCUGGUGGAAAUACUCUAUAGAAAGCAUGGAAAAGGAAAACCAACAAAGCCAGACUGAAAGGUAAAGAAAGACAAAGAACUGAAAGGGGCCAGGGAGCUAGACCAUCCUUUUGCUUGUGAUCAGCACUUUUGAUCCUGAGACUUCCUGGGAGGAGAGAGAGCACAAACCAGCCAUGCAGCAAGGCAGGGUGCAGCCAUGAUUUAUACCACUCCAAUUUCCUUGAGCCUUCAGGACCUCAGGUGACUUCUGUACCCGGGUGAAUGUUGUACAGUUCCACCUCCUGCAGUUUACCUCGUCCCCUCAAGAGCACCUAUGGGCAGAGGGGAAAGGAAGUUGCUCCCUUUGAGCUCAAGUUCAUUAGUCCAAAUGAACAAUUUUUCUGAGACCUUUUCUCUACAUCUUUGUUACUAAAUAUUGGGCAUGGAAUCUAAUGAAGUUAUCACAUUUGAUGUAUUAAUGAGGACAAUGAAAUAAGACUAAAAAUUCCUAACUGCUCAACUUACACCAUCUUCUAUAUUUUCCCUUCUGACAAUCAUGUGAAAAUCCCAAUGAUGUCAGAUUUUAUGAAUCUAUUACUAGGCCUGGGCAUGAUUCUUCCCGUGAAAUUAUCCCCUACUUGGAGGAGGGGCCCCAGGACUGAAGUUUCAAAAUUGCAUCAAAAAGAUGUGAGAGGAAAGGCUGUAUCAAACCUGCUGUUUGCUGCAAAACCA